AUGCACCCAACUCCCUCACACCAUCACAACCCACGUUACAAAUCCUCCUCCUCAUCAUAACCAUUCUGUUUUCCGCAUAAUAUCCAAAAACCUAUCAUGUCUGAAGAGAAACACCACCGCGGUCUCUUCCACCACCACAAGGAUGAAGACAAACCCUCAGACUACCCUCAGUCUGGCUACUCUGAUGAAGGACGUCCCGGCGGCCUCGGUGGUGGUUACGGCGACACCAAUGAUUAUUCUGGUGAAGGACGUACCGGCGGCCUAGGUGGUGGCUAUGGCGACACCAAUGCUUAUUCUGGUGAAGGACGUCCCGGCGGCUAUGGCGGCUAUAACGAGACCACUGCUUACUCUGAGGAAAGAGUUGAAAGACCCGGCGGUGGCCGGUACAGUGAGACUACUGCGGCAUAUGGCAGCACCACCACUCAUGAAUCUGAACUUGAUUACAAGAAGGAGGAGAAGCACCACAAGCAUCUCGAGCACCUCGGCGAGGCCGGUGUAGCUGCUGCCGGCGCUUUUGCCUUGGUACGUAUUGUAUUUUAACCCACCUCUAUAUAUAUAUAUAUUAGAAUAAUGCUAAUAAGACCAAAUUUUGAAAACUAAAUGAUGUGGUUGUUGAUAAUGAACUUAUUACUCAAGUCUUGAUUAACAUGCUUAUUUUCUAAUAGUGACACAUUAUUUGGUUUAGAAAUUUGGUCUUCCUAACUUUAUCAUUCUCAAAAUUUUCAUGAUUUUGAUAGGGUAAUACGGGAGAUCAAAAUUUCUAAACCAAAUUUGCAAACCAAUAGAUGAUUGGAUUAUUAAUUAAGUAUCGAUUGUUUGUUUCUUAUUAACGACAUAUCAUUUGAUUUACAAUUUAGUUAAAAAAAAUUUAUUCUUUCUGUCAUAUCCUUUUGAAUAUUUGAUCACUUUACUCUUUAUCACUUUACCCUUGAUCACUUUACCCAUACUCUUGCAACCGAAUCACCGUCCUCCUCCUUAACCUUCAUUUUUUUGUCUUACAGUACUCCAAUCUAUCAACUCUGUCCAUUGCAACUUUAAUUGUGAAGAAAAUUAAAGUCCUAUCGUAAAAUUAAUUAGUGAUAUGGAGAGUUGCGCAAUUAUUGAUGGACUAGGUAGGUAAGAUACGGAAUCAAAGUCUACCAUUAACAAUGGACGGAAUUGAUGAACCAUAUAGGUAUGUAAGAUACGGAAUCAAAGUCCUCAUGUAAAUGGUACAGUUGCAAUCAGGAGAAGAAAUGAGUUAACUGAUACCUUCGUAAUAGUUCAUGUAGAGUUUUGAUAUUAUUAAGCCUUAACCACCUGAUCUUAUAUAUACGAGGACAAAUCUAAUCAAAUAUGUGUUAAUUUCAAGGUUUGUUUUACAUUGAUGUGAGAUCGAUGCUAGCAAGAUAUAUAACUUAUGUCAGUUUCUAUAUGAUGUGUGUAGCAUGAGAAGCACAAUGAAAAGAAAGACCCAGAGCAUGCCCACAGGCACAAGAUAGAAGAGGAGAUUGCUGCAGCAGCUGCAGUUGGUUCGGGUGGAUUUGCCUUCCAUGAGCAUCAUGAGAAGAAAGAGACAAAGGAAGAAGAG
rnacentral:lncRNA from 1 species